CACCCCCAACCUUCGGCCCUCCAGAUGUUUUGGACUACAAUUUGGACUACAAUUGGGACUACAAUUCCCAUCACCCCUGACCACUGUUAGCUAGGGAUCAUGGGAGUUGUAGGCCAAAACAUCUGGAGGGCCGCAGGUUGGGGA